GCUGCCAUGUAACAUGGAUUUUGCUUCUCCUUUGCCUUCCUACCAUGAUUAUGAGGGCUCCCCGGCCAUGUGGAAUUGGUUUCUGCUGAGAGACCUGCUGUUAGUCUGAUGGGCUUCCCUUGGAAAAAGAAAAAUUCAAAGACAGAACACCAGCUUAGAAAGAAGAUAACAAUGCUACUUGUUGAUUGAUUUCCAUAUGGAAAGGAAGGAGUUAUUGGCCUCAACCAACAUAUUCAUUUGAAAGAGAAGCAUGGGUAGACAUGUUACAAGUUAGCAGGUUUGUGUCUUUGGCUCUGGUGCCUGUAAAAUAAAAUUGUAGGACCAGAUUUGAGUUACAGAUAUUA